rnacentral:rRNA from 1 species
CCUACGGGUGGCUGCAGUCGAGGAUCUUCGGCAAUGGGCGCAAGCCUGACCGAGCGACGCCGCGUGUGGGAUGAAGGCCCUUGGGUUGUAAACCACUGUCAGAGGGGAUGAAGUGCCAGCCGGCAAUCCGGUUGGUUUGACAUAGCCUCAGAGGAAGCACGGGCUAAGUUCGUGCCAGCAGCCGCGGUAAUACGAACUGUGCAAACGUUAUUCGGAAUCACUGGGCUUAAAGGGUGCGUAGGCGGCUGUCUAAGUAGGGUGUGAAAGCCCCCGGCUCAACCGGGGAAUUGCGCCCUAAACUGGAUGGCUGGAGUGAGACAGGGGUGUGUGGAACUUCCGGUGGAGCGGUGAAAUGUGUUGAUAUCGGAAGGAACGCCGGUGGCGAAAGCGACACACUGGGUCUCAACUGACGCUGAGGCACGAAAGCCAGGGGAGCAAACGGGAUUAGAUACCCCUGUAGUC